GAUGAACGCUGGCGGCGUGCCUAAUACAUGCAAGUCGAGCGAACAGACGAGGAGCUUGCUCCUCUGACGUUAGCGGCGGACGGGUGAGUAACACGUGGAUAACCUACUUAUAAGACUGGUAUAACUUCGGGACACCGGAGCUAAUACCGUAUAAUAUAUUGAACCGCAUGGUUCAAUAGUGAAAGACGGUGUUUCUGUCACUUCUAGAUGGAUCUGCGCCGCAUUAGCUAGUUGGUAAGGUAACGGCCUACCAAGGCAACGAUGCGUAGCCGACCUGACAGGGUGGUCGGCCACACUGGAACUGAGACAGGGUCCAGAGUCCUACGGGAGGCAGCAGUAGGGAAUCUGACGCAAUGGGCGAAAGCUUGACGGAGCAACGCGGCGUGAGAGAUGACGGUCUUCGGAUCGGAAAGCUCUGUUAUUAGGGAAGAACAACUGUGUAAGUAACUAUGCACGUAUUGACGGUACCUAAUCAGAAAGCAACGGCUAACUACGUG
rnacentral:rRNA from 1 species